rnacentral:rRNA from 1 species
UAUGAAGAAGUGCUCCUCGUUGUUGUAAAGUACUUUCAGCGGGGAGGAAGGCGUAUGUGGUUAAUAACCGCGUCGAUUGACGUUACCCGCAGAAGAAGCACCGGUUAAUUCCGUGCCAGCAGCCGCGGUAAUACGGAGGGUGCAAGCGUUAAUCGGAUUUACUGGGCGUAAAGCGCACGCAGGCGGUUUGUCAAGUCUGAUGUGAAAUCCCCGGGUUCAACCUGGGAACUGCUUCCGAAACUGGCAGGUUUGAGUCUCGUAGAGGGGGGUAGAUUUCCAGGUGUAGCGGUGAAAUGCGUAUAUAUCUGGAGGAAUACCGGUGGCGAAGGCGGCCCCCUGGACGAAGACUGACGCUCAGGUGCGAAAGUGUGGGGAGCAAACAGGAUUAGAUACCCUGGUAGUCCACGCCGUAAACGAUGUCGACUUGGAGGUUGUGCCCUUGAGGCGUGGCUUCCGGAGCUAACGCGUUAAGUCGACCGCCUGGGGAGUACGGCCGCAAGGUUAAAACUCAAAUGAAUUGACGGGGGCCCGCACAAGCGGUGGAGCAUGUGGUUUAAUUUCGAUGCAACGCGAAGAAUCUUACCUGGUCUUGAUAUCCUACAGAACUU